rnacentral:rRNA from 1 species
GAUGAACGCUGGCGGCGUGCCUAACACAUGCAAGUCGAACGGAAAGACGAUGAGCUUGUUCCCCUGACGUUGGCGGCGGACGGGUGAGUAACACGUGGAUCACCUACCUAUUAGUCUGGGAUAAUUACGGGAAACCGGAUCUAAUAACAGAUCAUAUAUUGUACCGGAGAGAGCAAUAGUGAAACGCGCCUUUGCUGUCUGUAUUAGCUGGUUCCGCGCCGGAUUAGCUAGUUGGUAAGGUAACGGCCUACCAAGGCUACGAUGCGUAGCCGACCUGAGAGGGUGAUCGGCCACACUGGAACUGAGACACGGUCCAGACUCCUACGGGAGGCAGCAGUAGGGAAUCUUGGGCAAUGGGCGAAAGCCUGACGCAGCAACACCGCGUGAGUGAUGAAGGUCUUCGGAUCGUAAAGCUCUGUUGUUAGGAAAGAACAACUGUAGAUUUAACCAUGCACGUCUUGACGGUACCUAAACAAUAAGCCACGGCUAACUUCGUG